rnacentral:tRNA from 1 species
GUUUUAAUAGUUUAAUAUAAAAUAAUGAUUUUGUAAAUCAUAGUUGUAAAACUUACUUAAAACU